rnacentral:lncRNA from 1 species
GAUUUCCGGUUACCGCCAUCUUCCUCGCGCGGAAGCCGGCUUCUAGGUGGGAGAGCUCCGUAGUGAGUGCAGUGGGUAGUUCGGUCGGUGCCAUGCCGUCAUCGCCGCUGCGGGUGGCGGUGGUGUGCUCGAGUAACCAGAAUCGGAGCAUGGAAGCACACAACAUCCUCAGCAAACGUGGUUUCAGUGUCCGCUCCUUUGGAACAGGAACUCAUGUGAAGCUCCCAGGACCAGCACCUGACAAGCCCAAUGUUUAUGACUUCAAAACCACAUAUGACCAGAUGUACAAUGAUCUCCUCAGGAAAGACAAAGAACUGUAUCCCAUGGCUGACCCUUAGAGAACCAGAGUGGCCAUCUGGUGGGUG